AUUGAACGCUGGCGGCAGGCCUAACACAUGCAAGUCGAGCGGAUGAGUGGAGCUUGCUCCAUGAUUCAGCGGCGGACGGGUGAGUAAUGCCUAGGAAUCUGCCUGGUAGUGGGGGACAACAUCUCGAAAGGGAUGCUAAUACCGCAUACGCCCUACGGGAGAAAGCAGGGGCUCUUUGGACCCUGCGCUAAUAGAUGAGCCUAAGUCGGAUUAGCUAGUUGGUGGGGUAAAGGCCUACCUAGGCGACGGUCUGUAGCGGGUCUGAGAGGAUGAUCAGCCACACAGGGACUGAGACACGGGCCAGACUCCUACGGGAGGCAGCAGUGGGGAAUAUUGGACAAUGGGGGGAACCCUGAUCCAGCCAUGCCGCGUGUGUGAAGAAGGCCUUAUGGUUGUAAAGCACUUUAAGCGAGGAGGAGGCUACUCUAGUUAAUACCUAGGGAUAGUGGACGUUACUCGCAGAAUAAGCACCGGCUAACUCUGUGCCAGCCGCCGCCGUAA
rnacentral:rRNA from 1 species